CAGCAGCCACGGUAAUACGAAGGGGGCUAGCGUUGCUCGGAAUGACUGGGCGUAAAGGGCGCGUAGGCGGCGAUCAAAGUCAGGCGUGAAAUUCCUGGGCUCAACCUGGGGGCUGCGCUUGAUACUUGGUUGCUUGAGUGGGGAAGAGGGUCGUGGAAUUCCCAGUGUAGAGGUGAAAUUCGUAGAUAUUGGGAAGAACACCGGUGGCGAAGGCGGCGACCUGGUCCUUGACUGACGCUGAGGCGCGAAAGCGUGGGGAGCAAACAGGAUUAGAGACCCCCGUAGUCCCUGUCUCUUAUAC
rnacentral:rRNA from 1 species